rnacentral:rRNA from 1 species
AAACUAACAAGGAUUCCCUUAGUAGCGGCGAGCGAAGCGGGAUGAGCUCAAAUUUGAAAUCUGGCGUCUUUCAGGCGUCCGAGUUGUAAUCUAUAGAAGCGUUUUCUGUGCUGGACCGUGUCCAAGUCCCUUGGAACAGGGUAUCAAAGAGGGUGACAAUCCCGUACUUGACACGACCACCAGUGCUCUGUGAUACGUUUUCUACGAGUCGAGUUGUUUGGGAAUGCAGCUCAAAAUGGGUGGUAAAUUCCAUCUAAAGCUAAAUAUUGGCGAGAGACCGAUAGCGAACAAGUACCGUGAGGGAAAGAUGAAAAGCACUUUGGAAAGAGAGUUAAACAGUACGUGAAAUUGUUGAAAGGGAAACGAUUGAAGUCAGUCGUGUCUAUUGGUUUCAGCCGGUUCUGCCGGUGUAUUACCUUUAGACGGGUCAACAUCAGUUUUGGACGGCGGAUAAUAGCAGUUUGAAUGUGGCACCUCCGGGUGUGUUAUAGCUUUCUGUUGCAUACGCUGUCCGAGACUGAGGACUGCAGCUUGCCGCAAGGCCGGGGUCUCGACCCACGUUACGAGCUUAGGAUGUUGACAUAAUGGCUUUAAACGAC